GUAAACGCAAUUCCGGUAUAAGCUUUGUUGUUGGUGGAGAAAUGGCAGCUAGAGUGUUUCCGACUUUCCUAACUUGUCUACCGAAGUUCACCAGCGCCGAUGUGGUGAAGAGUGUGGGUAUACACUCGUCCACUAAAGGGAACAAACUGGAUAAGGGAUAUAAAUUCUUCCGCGCGGAGUUUAUCCACAAUUAUCAAGUCAUUCGUAUAAAGGACCAACAUGGACCAGUAUUUAUUUCAUGCUGCCCUUCGGCAGUACCUACUAAGUGGGAUGUCGAUGUCGCGGUUGACUGGAAGAGAGUCAUGCAGGUGGCCAACCACUUCGUUGUAGAUGAUUUGUCCGUGCUGAUGGCCAUGCAGCAUAGUUGAAGCAGACCUGUCAGAAAACAUCUCUAAGGUGCUAUGAAUCCUAUGACUAGAUACGCAUCCUAAAAUUACUAGAGGUUACGGAAGCUCCUUUUUGGAUCCAGCUUCAUUUGUGAAGACUUCAGAUGAUGCCAACACUCACAGAGACUUAAGACGAUGGCAACAAUAGAUGAAGCAACACUCACAAAGACUUUAGAUGAUGGCAACUAUAGAUGGACAUACAAAAUUGCCAAACAUAAUAUUGUAAUUACUGCCCCAAAGCGCAAGUUUGCAGAUUUUUAACCCACUUUAUAUUGUUACAAAUACAAUAGAUGCUAACAUUUGAACAGAAAAUGUUUCCUCUUUAUUCUUGAGUUAAUUGUGCUGAUUUAUUCCCAUUUUUUUUAUCCACAAUACUUUGCCAAAAUGAUGUUUUGCAUCAUCCAAAUGGUUCAUUUACAAAUUACAGACAUCGUAACAACACAAAGUGGGUUAUAAUUCUGCCAACUUACCCUAUAAUAAUAAUAAUUGUCUUUUAACUGAACAUGACUUUAAAGACAUGACCUGUAUUAUCUUAGAGCUAUUGUGAAAUUAAUAUUGGUUAUGUAUCCAGAAUAUUCUCCUCAGUGAGUCACUGUUACCUCGGACUGAUUAAGCGAUUUUUUGUAACCUUGAAACAUUGGUUUUACUAUGGUCAAACUGCAGAUCUUAUUUCAAACCAAGGUUUUGUUACCAUGGUUCUACUACAGUAACAUUAUAGUAAUGCUGGAGUGAAACAGUGAAUAUGGUAACCAUAUUAUUUUAAAUCAUGGUAAAGUUUGUGGUUACUAAAAUGCACUACUAUAUGCUGGUUUAAGAGCAUGAUUAUUUUUUAUUUAUUAAUAAACCAUGGUUGAUUUUAUAUUUACCGUGGUUUUACUGCAAAUUAUGGUAAAAAAAUUAUAGAUAACUUUUGCAUGGGUACAGAAAAAAAGUGUAAACUGAAUGUUUCUAUUUGUAAGUCACGUUGGUUAAAUGCAUCUGAAAAAUGUAAAUGGAUUUGUAUAUUUAUUCUGUUUACUGAAAAUAAUAAAUUUGCAGUUGCUAUUGUAUAUUGUUUAUUAUUGUGUUGAAAGACAUUUUGGUUAGAGUGAUUAAACGAUUAUAAACCAUGAGCCGCUGUGUGUUAGCUGGGACGCGGUUUUGGAUAAUUGCCAAAAAGUCUUCAUUUAAAUAUGUUUAAAAAGAGUCUUUAUUAACUACACAAAAGUGUAGCCUAGAAAAAUACGCUGCCAGUUGUUAUGCUUAGCCGUAAAGUGUUUCAACGCAUGCGUGA